GCUGCAGUGGGGUAGUGGUAACCUGGGUCGUUGCCAUUUAGCUGUGACAUCUCGACCCGCCCGGAGUUCGAUUCUCCGCUGCAGCA